rnacentral:rRNA from 1 species
GGUCAAGUUAUUAAGGGUGCAGGGCGGAUGCCUUGGCACUAGGAGCCGAUGAAGGACGUGAUAAGCUGCGAUAAGCUUCGGGGAGUUGCACGUAAACUUUGAUCCGAAGAUUUCCGAAUGAGGAAACUCACUUAGAGUAAUGUCUAAGUAUCAUUAAGUGAAUACAUAGCUUAAUGAGGGGAACUCAGGGAACUGAAACAUCUAAGUACCUGAAGGAAGAGAAAGAAAUUCGAUUCCGUAAGUAGCGGCG